CGAACGAUGACGGUGGUGCUUGCACCGCCUGAUUAGUGGCGAACGGGUGAGUAACACGUGAGUAACCUGCCCUCCACUUCGGGAUAACCUCGGGAAAUCGUGGCUAAUACCGGAUAUGAGCACUCAUCGCAUGGUGGGUGCUGGAAAGAUUUAUCGGUGGGGGAUGGACUCGCGGCCUAUCAGUUUGUUGGUGAGGUGAUGGCUCACCAAGACGAUGACGGGUAGCCGGCCUGAGAGGGCGACCGGCCACACUGGGACUGAGACACGGCCCAGACUCCUACGGGAGGCAGCAGUGGGGAAUAUUGCACAAUGGGCGAAAGCCUGAUGCAGCGACGCCGCGUGGGGGAUGACGGCCUUCGGGUUGUAAACCCCUUUCAGUAGGGAAGAAGCGAGAGUGACGGUACCUGCAGAAGAAGCGCCGGCUAACUACGUGCCAGCAGCCGCGGUAAUACGUAGGGCGCAAGCGUUGUCCGGAAUUAUUGGGCGUAAAGAGCUUGUAGGUGGCUUGUCGCGUCUGCCGUGAAAACCCGAGGCUCAACCUCGGGCGUGCGGUGGGUACGGGCAGGCUAGAGUGUGGUAGGGGAGACUGGAACUCCUGGUGUAGCGGUGAAAUGCGCAGAUAUCAGGAAGAACACCGAUGGCGAAGGCAGGUCUCUGGGCCAUUACUGACAUUGAGAAGCG
rnacentral:rRNA from 1 species